GACAGAGGGGGCAAGCGUUGCUCGGAAUUACUGGGCGUAAAGGGCGCGUAGGCGGGAUGGCAAGUCGGUCGUGAAAUCCUUCGGCUCAACCGAAGAACGUCGAUCGAUACUGCUGUUCUUGAGGGUUGCAGAGGAGACUGGAAUUCCCGGUGUAGCGGUGAAAUGGUGUAGAGAAUCGGGAGGAACGACCGGUGGCGAAGGGCGGGUCUCUGGGCAGUAGCUGACGCUGAUGCGCGACAGCGUGGGGGAGCA
rnacentral:rRNA from 1 species